rnacentral:rRNA from 1 species
GACGAACCACACGAACGUUAUUCGGAAUCACUGGGCUUAAAGGGUGCGUAGGCUGCGCAGAAAGUUGGGUGUGAAAUCCCUCGGCUCAACCGAGGAACUGCGCCCAAAACUACUGUGCUCGAGGGAGAUAGAGGUGAGCGGAACUUAGGGUGGAGCGGUGAAAUGCGUUGAUAUCCUAAGGAACACCCGUGGCGAAAGCGGCUCACUGGAUCUCUUCUGACGCUGAGGCACGAAAGCUAGGGUAGCGAACGGG